GUAGGUGGCAAGCGUUGUCCGGAAUUAUUGGGCGUAAAGCGCGCGCAGGCGGUUCUUUAAGUCUGAUGUGAAAGCCCACGGCUCAACCGUGGAGGGUCAUUGGAAACUGGAGAACUUGAGUACAGAAGAGGAAAGCGGAAUUCCACGUGUAGCGGUGAAAUGCGUAGAGAUGUGGGGGAACACCAGUGGCGAAGGCGGCUUUCUGGUCUGUAACUGACGCUGAGGCGCGAAAGCGUGGGGAGCAAACGAGGGAUUAGAUACCCUGGUAGUCCACGCCGUAAACGAUGAGUGCUAAGUGUUAGGGGGUUUCCGCCCCCGUUAGUGCUGCAGCUAACGCAUUAAGCACUCCGCCGUGGGGAGUACGGCCGGCAAGGCUG
rnacentral:rRNA from 1 species